ACUCACAAGACACUCAUCUAACACUCCUGUCCUUUUGAAACACCUGCCCUUUGAAACCUUCUCCAAUCAUCUAAACCCUCACCAUCAUCCACUGUUCCGGUGCAACUCAUCAUCACCGCUUAUACCAUAAACAACUACCACAACCCUCUGACCUGCAACUCUCUUUCGAGAGAGAGAAUGACAUAAAGUUUCCUGCCCGGAGAAGAAGAGUAAAAGAGGCGGCGGCUAAGGGCGCCAGUGGCAAGGGUUUUCGAGACCAGAUCAGGGACGACGGCUAGGGGUACCGAUGAUAAGGGUACCUGAUCAAUGACAACAAAACAAGAUGGAUUAGUCCGGGUUGAAAAAUGGCGGUUCAGAUAUGGAGGUUGAAGACGGUGGUCCGACGACCUGAGGUGACUUUCACCGAUGUUCGGCCGAGACUUCUGAGAGGACAUGGGACGCACCAGAUAUACAAGAUGAUUUCUACUUGAAUCUUUUGGACUGGGUGACUAGCAAUGUUCUCGCGAUUGCCCUAUCAAACACGGCCUAUCUCUUGAACGCUACAAAUGGUAGCACCGCAGAACUCGUUACCGUAGACGACGACACGGGUCCCGUGACAAGCAUUAAAUGGGCGCCUGACGACCGUCACAUCUCCAUCGGCUUAAACAAUUACGGAAUCUAACUCUGGGAUCAUACCACUAACAAACUGUUGAGGACUUUGAGAGGCUGCCAUGAUUCACGUGUCGGGUCAUUAGAUUGGAACAAUCACAUUCUCUUAACCGGAGGAAUGGACGGUCGGAUCGUAAACAACGAUGUCCGAAUCAGAUCGCAUAUCGUCGAGACUUACUCUGGUCACCACCAAGAAGUCUGACUGUGUAUUGCAGUGGUGAAAUUGAUGUGAAUUUGAAUUUGAAUUUUAUAACUAUGUUUCUGGUUUCCAUUGUCGGGUUAACAGACCCUCUCUAGCUUAUUGUCGAUUAUAGAAAAUUUGGCCUUAGCUUUGUAACAAAAUUUAUGUGAAUUUGAAUUUUAUAAGUUACAUGUUUUGACCUCAAAAGUCAAUGAGUAUGAUUUA